UACGGGGGGAGCAAGCGUUGUUCGGAUUUACUGGGCGUAAAGGACGCGUAGGCGGCCAGCACAAGUCAGUUGUGAAAUCUCCGAGCUUAACUCGGAACGGUCAACUGAUACUGUGCGGCUAGAGUGCGGAAGGGGCAACUGGAAUUCUUGGUGUAGCGGUGAAAUGCGCAGAUAUCGGGAGGAACACCAAUUGCGAAGGCAGCUCGCUGGGACGUUACUGACGCUGAGACGCGAAAGCGUGGGGAGCAAACAGG
rnacentral:rRNA from 1 species